AGUUAGUACUUGGGAUAGCAAUACAACUACAUGGUACCAUGAUGAUAUUGCUGUUUUAAGACUGAUUGGUUUAUCCCGAAGUGUGAUAAGUAUGGACAGAUUCACCAAAAGGUACUCAUGACAUCCACCUAACCUUGUGAACUGUUUUCCCUAGAUGACCUAGUUUGGAUUCUGUGGAGAAGUUUUCUGCUUUGACUUGGUUCCUGAAAAUGCUUCUCUUCCCUGAUGCCAGGCACUAGUCAGCUAAGUUGUCUUUGCAGGAGAUAUCGCCUCUUGGAGAGGAUAGAAAAAUAAGAACAGAAACUGGAGUCAUUUACAGUGGUGAGAACUUUUAUAUUUCUCUUUGCUAAUCAUUAUGUGACUGGCAUGUGACGAAGUAAGCUUGGAAACUCGUAAGUCACACUUUCAACCUUUCCUUUACAACAGAGCUCAUUGCUGAGCUGUCUUGCUAAAGCUGAUCAGUGUCACAUGCUACAGUGAUUGCAGGAAAAAGUGACAAAUGCAACAAUUGAGAAAAUAGUGCUUUCCAAAUUCCUUAUCCUGCAUCUUUGUCAUCUUACAAAGACCAAAGAGAUUAGUGGAUAAUUG
rnacentral:lncRNA from 1 species